UUUAUGGAGGGUUCGAUUCUGGCUCAGGAUGAACGCUGGCGGCGUGCUUAACACAUGCAAGUCGAACGGGAUCCCGGGGGUUCGCUUCCGGGUGAGAGUGGCGAACGGGUGAGUAAUGCGUGACCGACCUGCCCCAUACACCGGAAUAGCUCCUGGAAACGGGUGGUAAUGCCGGAUGCUCCGGUU
rnacentral:rRNA from 1 species